rnacentral:rRNA from 1 species
AUUGAACGCUGGCGGCAGGCUUAACACAUGCAAGUCGAACGAGUGGCGGACGGGUGAGUAAUGUAUGGGAAACUGCGCGAUGGAGGGGGCUAACUACUGGAAACUGUAGCAAAUACCGCUUACAAGAGGCUGGGCCCAAGUGGGAUUAGGUAGUUGGGGAGGUAAAGGCUCACCAAGACGACGAUCUCUAGCGUGUCUAAGAUGAUGACCAGCCACACUGGAACUGCGACACGGCCCAGACUCCUCCGGGAGGCAGCAGUGGGGAAUAUUGCGCAAUGGGCGAAACCCUGACGCAGCCAUGCCGCGUGAAUGAAGAAGGCCUUCGGGUUGUAAAGUUCUUUCGGUAGGGAGGCGUUAACUACAGAAGAAGCACCGGCUAACUCCGUGCCAGCAGCCGCGGUAAUAC